AAAAAAACGUCACUAAAAAGAAAAAUAACAAAGGAACAAAUGAAGUUAAGAUGGAAAGAACAAUCAGAAACAGAUUACCAGAAAAUGAAAAUAAAAAAUGGUUCAUUGGCGGAAAAAUUAUUAUAUAUAAGGAUAGGACUGUUCGCUGGUAGUACCAUUGCUGAGAUUUCAAUUUCAUCGAGUUUUGAUCUGUUUUGGCAUACCAAACUAUUGCCCUAAACGUGAUUACUGAUUUCACAAU